UACGUAGGGCGCGAGCGUUGUCCGGAAUUAUUGGGCGUAAAGAGCUCGUAGGCGGUUUGUCGCGUCGGUUGUGAAAACCCAAGGCUCAACCUUGGGCCUGCAAUCGAUACGGGCAGACUAGAGUACUGCAGGGGAGACUGGAAUUCCUGGUGUAGCGGUGGAAUGCGCAGAUAUCAGGAGGAACACCGGUGGCGAAGGCGGGUCUCUGGGCAGUAACUGACGCUGGAGGAGCGAAAGCGUGGGGAGCGAACAGG
rnacentral:rRNA from 1 species